rnacentral:rRNA from 1 species
UACGAAGGGGGCUAGCGUUGCUCGGAAUUACUGGGCGUAAAGGGAGCGUAGGCGGACAUUUAAGUCAGGGGUGAAAUCCCGGAGCUCAACUCCGGAACUGCCCUUGAUACUGGGUGUCUUGAGUGUGAGAGAGGUAUGUGGAACUCCGAGUGUAGAGGUGAAAUUCGUAGAUAUUCGGAAGAACACCAGUGGCGAAGGCGACAUACUGGCUCAUUACUGACGCUGAGGCUCGAAAGCGUGGGGAGCGAACAGG